rnacentral:rRNA from 1 species
UGGGGAAUAUUGCACAAUGGGCGCAAGCCUGAUGCAGCCAUGCCGCGUGUAUGAAGAAGGCCUUCGGGUUGUAAAGUACUUUCAGCGGGGAGGAAGGGAGUAAAGUUAAUACCUUUGCUCAUUGACGUUACCCGCAGAAGAAGCACCGGCUAACUCCGUGCCAGCAGCCGCGGUAAUACGGAGGGUGCAAGCGUUAAUCGGAAUUACUGGGCGUAAAGCGCACGCAGGCGGUUUGUUAAGUCAGAUGUGAAAUCCCCGGGCUCAACCUGGGAACUGCAUCUGAUACUGGCAAGCUUGAGUCUCGUAGAGGGGGGUAGAAUUCCAGGUGUAGCGGUGAAAUGCGUAGAGAUCUGGAGGAAUACCGGUGGCGAAGGCGGCCCCCUGGACGUAGACUGACGCUCAGGUGCGAAAGCGUGGGGAGCAAACAGG